AGUGAACGCUGGCGGUAGGCCUAACACAUGCAAGUCGAACGGCAGCACAGUAAGAGCUUGCUCUUACGGGUGGCGAGUGGCGGACGGGUGAGGAAUACAUCGGAAUCUACUUUUUCGUGGGGGAUAACGUAGGGAAACUUACGCUACUACCGCAUACGACCUACGGGUGAAAGCAGGGGAUCUUCGGACCUUGCGCGAUUGCAUGAGCCGAUGUCGGAUUAGCUAGUUGGCGGGGUAAAGGCCCACCAAGGCGACGAUCCGUAGCUGGUCUGAGAGGAUGAUCAGCCACACUGGAACUGAGACACGGUCCAGACUCCUACGGGAGGCAGCAGUGGGGAAUAUUGGACAAUGGGCGCAAGCCUGAUCCAGCCAUACCGCGUGGGUGAAGAAGGCCUUCGGGUUGUAAAGCCCUUUUGUUGGGAAAGAAAAGCAGCAGGUUAAUACCCCGCUGUUCUGACGGUACCCAAAGAAUAAGCACCGGCUAACUUCGUG
rnacentral:rRNA from 1 species